AGUGAACGCUGGCGGUAGGCCUAACACAUGCAAGUCGAACGGCAGCACAGUAAGAGCUUGCUCUUACGGGUGGCGAGUGGCGUACGGGUGAGGAAUACAUCGGAAUCUACUUUUUCGUGGGGGUUAACGUAGGGAAACUUACGCUAAUACCGCAUACGACCUACGGGUGAAAGCAGGGGAUCUUCGGACCUUGCGCGAUUGAAUGAGCCGAUGUCGGAUUAGCUAGUUGGCGGGGUAAAGGCCCACCAAGGCGACGAUCCGUAGCUGGUCUGAGAGGAUGAUCAGCCACACUGGAAGUGAGCCACGGUCCAGACUCCUACGGGAGGCAGCAGUGGGGAAUAUUGGACAAUGGGCGCAAGCCUGAUCCAGCCAUACCGCGUGGGUGAAGAAGGCCUUCGGGGUGUAAAGCCGUUUUGUUGGGAAAGAAAAGCAGCAGGUUAAUACCACGCUGUUCUGACGGUACCCAAAGAAUAAGCACCGGCUAACUUCGUG
rnacentral:rRNA from 1 species